rnacentral:tRNA from 1 species
CAUUCUGUGCUAUAGGGCUUUUGUUAUUUACAAUAACAAAUUGUUUGUGCAAUUCAUACCAGGGUGA